UAGCAACAAAUACUUUUUAAAAAAUAAAUACAUUCUCAGACUAGGCAGCGCUGUCUGGCGCGUAUCGCGCGCUUUUACGCGACUGCGCCGGGUUAGUCUCGCAAUUUGCGUGAGUUAUGUAAAGAAGUAUAAUUUCGUGGGGUAAUUUAAUAGUUAAAUGAUUAUGUGCAUUUUUUCUCGUUUUUUCAUACUCAACAAUAUGAUUUUUGUUUAAAGGCUGAGAUACUGAGACUCAUUCGACUUCGACCAUCUUCGUUCAAGGAAUCUGAGGUGACGUGAAACUUACAGACAGCCGCCUGCCCGCGAAGACGAGCGGCGAACGCCCUGACCGGCUCUUCGUGCUCCUGCGUCAUGUUGUGGAGCUGGACGCGAGCCACUGCGAGGUUUUCCUCGCGGACGGCGAGACUUCGCAUUGCGGCCAAGACAGUCUGUUCGUCCUUGGAUGAGAGGGAGCCCCCCGAGAAUCUGGUGAGGUCCCUGCGGAGGCCUUCGUCGCAGCAUUCAAGCAGCUGGAUGACGCAGUCUGUAUCGCGAUGUCGCUGAGACUGGCCCUGUUGGCUUUUACCCUUCUGCUGGCGCUCGCCGUCGCACAUGGCCAGGGCAGCUGGUUCGCAGCAGAAGACACGGACACCCUCUCAGAAGUCGACUACGAGGAGGAAACCGACCAGUUCAGGAACAAACGACAGUCCAUCUUUGAUGAAAAGGAGGAAUUGCGCAGAAACUGCCUGAGAAAAUCUCGGCAGGCGUGCUGUCCCCUGCUGAAGAAGGACGCCGUCAAGUUUGCUGCCUGUGUAAAGGGCUACAGCUGGUCCAACAAGGACAAGGAUCGGCCUGGCUGUCCCAACUACCCCCGCUGUCCCGGCUUCACACGGGGCUGAAGCAGCAUGGGCGUGUGAAGGAUCAAAAAUAAACGCAACCUGUCACCUGGGCACCGUUAUCCCGAAUCGCCCGACGUUGUUUUGUUUUGUUUGAAUGUUUUCUAUGAUUGGUAAGAUAAAACCACGAAGAGGACAUACCUAGCGAGACAUGAGUCAGGAUAUCUUGAAAUAAAGGCUUUGGAUUGAA